CAGGGAGACAACAAAAUGUUUAAUAUUAUUAUUUUGUCACCUUAGGUCGAUCGGUAUCUCACGUUCUUAAAUCAUUUAAGAAUUUCAUUUUCUAAGUUUUUCUAGGUCACACCCAUUAUUUUUCCUGGGCCAUUAGCUCAGGUGGUUAGAGCGCACCCCUGAUAAGGGUGAGGUCCCUGGUUCAAGUCCAGGAUGGCCCAUAUCUCUAUGUUGGGGGUAUAGCUCAGUUGGUAGAGCGCCUGCUUUGCAAGCAGGAUGUCAGCGGUUCGAGUCCGCUUACCUCCACUGAUUACCACCUCUCGCAUAAUCUGUAGAAGGGAAAUGUUUUGAGUUGUGAUCAAAUUCUGAACGAAUCUAGCUUCCUAAUGAAUGUAUUAAGAUGCUGGACUCAUUGAAUUAAUUUCAUUGUUUUCAGAGAACCUUGACAACUGCAUAGAUUAUUUUAAAGACAAUAAGCAUCUUUAACGAUGCAGAUUUAUUAUUUGUGCGAAUGCAUUAAUAACAAUUCUAUUAAGCUGAUGCUUCAAUUUUUGAAGUUAUU
rnacentral:tRNA from 1 species